rnacentral:rRNA from 1 species
ACGAACGCUGGCGGCAUGCCUAACACAUGCAAGUCGAACGAGACCUUCGGGUCUAGUGGCGCACGGGUGCGUAACGCGUGGGAACCUGCCCUUAGGUUCGGAAUAACUCCCCGAAAGGGGUGCUAAUACCGGAUAAUGUCUUCGGACCAAAGAUUUAUCGCCUUUGGAUGGGCCCGCGUUGGAUUAGCUAGUUGGUAGGGUAAAAGCCUACCAAGGCGACGAUCCAUAGCUGGUCUGAGAGGAUGAUCAGCCACACUGGGACUGAGACACGGCCCAGACUCCUACGGGAGGCAGCAGUGGGGAAUAUUGGACAAUGGGCGAAAGCCUGAUCCAGAAAUGCCGCGUGAGUGAUGAAGGCCUUAGGGUUGUAAAGCUCUUUUACCCGGGAUGAUAAUGACAGUACCGGGAGAAUAAGCUCCGGCUAACUCCGUG